CCCUACCCGGUAUAGGAUAAUAUAGUAAAUGGUAGUGGUAGCUAGUAACUGGUAGCAGCGUUACCUAAAUAAUAAAUUAUUUAAAUAUUUUAUUCUCAGUGUACCGUUGGUGUUAUAAUAACUACAAUACAGUGUUCUGUUCGAUGAUUCUUUACUUGUACGUGUUAUUUAUUUUAUUUUUUUUUGCCAUUUAUUUAUACGAGUGCCUUGAAAGUUGUUGGCAAAAUAUCGAUUAAUAAACUACUAAUUUAUUAAUGUCUAUGAAAGUAACUGCGUGUUUGACCUGCCGUGGGAAUAUCCUCAAGAAAUAGAAAGUUUUUUAAACUACAGUUUCAAUUUAAUGGACCGAGAAAAAGAAAAAGAAAAUAAAACAAAGAGACACUUGGAAGUCUUCCGUUUGGCGUGCUCGUGACCCUGCACUUCAAGCUUUUCUUAUUAUCCCUAUAAAUACAUCUACAUAGAUCUAUUAUUCUCAUCUACAAUCUUUUAUAUAUUUUUAUUAUACAAUUAAUUAACAUAUUAAUUAUUCAUCACAUGAUAAUAACAAACAAGUGAAUGAUAAUGAGGAAAAUUUAAAUAAUUAAGAUAUAUAUACUAUCUAAAAGGGUAAUCUCCAUGUUAUAAAAAAAAAAAAAAAAAAAAAAAGUCAAGUAAAAUACAGUGCCAUCUUUA